rnacentral:rRNA from 1 species
AUGUACGUGAGCGUCGUCAAGGCGCGCGACAUCCCCACCAUGGACAUCACCGGCGCGCCCGACCCGUACGUGGGAGUGAAACUGGGCAACUUCAAGGGCAUCACUCGGCACCCGGAGAUGACCCACAACCAAACCAAUCAGCUGGAGGUCAUCGUCAAGGGCAAGGACAUCAGCGGCGACAAGUUCAUUGGCCGCAUCCCCUUCGAAACGUCCGACAUCCCCUGCUGCCUCCCGCCCAACAGCCCAUUGGCGCCGCAGUGGUACAACCUCUCCGACGCCCAUGGCCAGAAGUUCCACCAUGGCCAUAGCCUCGGCGAGAUCAUGCUCGCCGUCUGGGUCGGUACCCAGGCCGAUGGGGCCUUCCUGAAGGCGUGGCACUCGCAAGCGUACUCGGUGUCGCGCUCACAGGACAACUCCCACAUGUUUAGCCUUCGUCGUAGCAAGGCCAACUUCAACCGGAUCCCCUUGCUCUUCUCCGGCGGCGUCGCCGUCGCCAAAUGCUUCGACGGCAUCUGCAAGUGGGAGAACCCACCGACGACGAUUUUGGUGCACGUGGUGUUCCUGAAUCUGCCACGGCACCCGCCACACAUCGACACGAUGUUGUCGCACACGGAGCUCGCACACCCUGACGAGGAGCUCAAGGCGUUCCCAAACAUAGAUGCGGAGUUCGACACGUUCCCAACGUCCAAGCCAGAUGACAUCUGGAGGCUGAGGUAUGAUCGGCUGAGGGGCAUCGCUGGCACGGUGCAGAUGAUGACUGGCUGCCUGGCUACGCAUGGGGAGCGCGUGCACUCGCUGCUCUUGCUCGACCCCAGACCGGCUACACAGGGGGAGCGCUGGGAUGACCCAGGCAUAUGGUGCAUCAGUACAUCUCAUGUGUCUAGUGCACCGUAUGUGCCCCCAACUUACUUUUGUGUAAGGGCUGUCAUUAUGUUCCAUGGUGUAGUAGCAUCCGGGGCUCCCGGCACCCCCUUAUCUGGCCGUCCAGUGCUGCUGAGAUUCGUGUUGGGCCUGAAUGGAACCAGACCAUUUACAGCUUUAUCAGUCUACUUAAUUCUUCUAACAGGCAGCACUAGGCACCUAUUUCCACAGUGCUUCCCGACAUAUGUGGCAGUCCCUUCAAAGCCCAUCUCUCUCCUCCCCGACAGCCUAUCUCAUCUCAACCAACGAAAAGUCACAGGUUGUCACAUCAGCCGGGUGCCGGGGCACCCGGAAGGCGGCGAGGCUGAUCUCGUGGAGGCAGAGGCGGAGGCGGAGCAUCAGCCAUUGCCUAGACGGCGAAGGAAUGAACAAGAUCCCCGUCGCCAGCCUGCACAAGGCCACGGUCGAUGCGAUGACGCAAGCGUCACCGCUGUCUUCGGCAGAUAUGCAGAUGAUUUAUUGUCUGAUGAAGUUUUGCACUUCAUGGCCUGGGUGGCCGCUGGACACCCGGCACACGGUCUAGAUCAACCCCUAACAUUCAGGCCAUUAGCUUCAAAAAUGGUUGUAGCUGAACGCGAUUGUCAUACUAGAUGUGGAAUUGGAAAGAGCAGAUUUUAUAGAAGUUACAGCCAUGCAAGACAAGUCAUAGCACAAGACGCCAACGGUGGAGGGAGAGUCGCAGUUUGCAGAAGGGAGGCCAUGGCGUGA